rnacentral:lncRNA from 1 species
UGAGCUUAUUUUAACUGUGUGUGUGGUGCAUGUGUAGGAGCAUAUAUGUGUGCAUGUGUGUGUGCUCAUGUACAAGAGUUCAUGUGUAUGCAUGCAUGUGCUAGCGUGUGUAUGCUUGUUUUACUUGGAGCAUCCAAUCCAGCCCUGGUCACUGGGCAGGAGGAAACUCAAUCUGAGCAUAGCCAGGUGCUCUCUGGGAAGACAGGACCCAUUCCCAUGGCCUUGCUCUCAAAGAUCUGAAGUUAGUGAGACUCGGCUGGAGGACAGAGUCCAUGGCUGCCGUGUCCCUGAGGCCAUCUGUGCAAAGCUGAAUACCAUCAAUACUCAACCCACAGCACCUAAUCUGGGGGCCGGGACCCAGCAAUGGGCAGCAGAUCCUUCCUCCUGGCUGAAGGCAGAAGGCAGAAGGCAGACCCAGCCCUGGAGCUGAGGAGGGAGAGGAUCCUGGUGUUCAAGCUGCAGGCCCACAGCCCCGCAUGGGCUGUUCCUGCGUGGGCAGCCCAAGGAUUAAACAGAUUUUGUUGGGAUUACUGCUGCCAAUCAAGUUCAAGUGCAUUUUUAAGAGCUUAAUUUGCAGCCCUAGGUUUCGAAUAAAAUUGUCAAGUCCAGUCGAUUAAACUCAUUAAGGCGGGUGGACUGGCUGGCGUUCACACUGCCAUCAGAUUUGGAGAAUUAAUUAGGGGCCUGUUAUCCUUUGUUGGGAUUAGCAGAGCCAGCCCGGCGGCCCAGGGUUUCUGCUAA